ACACCAUGUCCUUCCAGUCCGAGUAUCUCAAAAUCGACCGUAAUGACCCAGAUGGAGUUGCAGGUUUCCCACUUUCUUCAGGUGACCAGAGCAAACAGAGGAAACCUUGAUGCUGUCGGGCUUGUUCAUGGAACACCAAUCCCUAAUAUGCAGCUCUGGCGGGUUGCUCUAGCCAACCUAAAUCUGAUAUGACAUUUGGGCAGUUGGUAGAUAGUUUAAGCUUAAUUUUUUCAAAAUUUAGUUGAGGUUGGCUCCAACAAAAAGCAACUUGAGCUUAAUCCAAAACUGGUUUAGCAUUUUUAUAAUUUAUAUUACUAUACAUAAGUGUUA